ACAAACACCGCUGUCAUGGUAUGCAGCCCAACUUUGUUUCAUUGAUUGAGUUGCGCUCCUGCAGUCUUUGCAGCUUGGAGGGUCGAAUAAAACAGAGAUAGUUUGAAAGUAAUUUAUCCGCUAGAGGUGUGGAGAUAAAAAAAAGUUUGAGGAGUGAGACUAAACUUUUAUCCCGAGUCAUGUGUCAGCGUUGAGUGGAGACAAAGGAAAAGGAGCUGAACCCGGGAUGUUAAUGCGUAAGUUUUCGGAAAAAUGGAAUCAGCAAGAGGUGGAAGCAAGAAGGAUUUUGGCAGACAGGGUGGAGAAGCAACAUCAAAACACUAUUUGGAGUCACCGAGAUGACAUGAAGCAGUGGGACAACCUCCAUAACGGCUGAGUGGAUGAACGGAUGGAUGGAGUAGAGGAGCUACAGGGUGUGGAAGUGUUUCAUCUCCAGUCUGUACUCCAAAAGGUGUUAAGAAGCUCAGAGCGUCAGAUGAAGAACCAUGCAGAUGAGGCUUAAGUUUCUUGCUUAAGGACACUUCAGCAGGGCUGAAGUGUCUGCAACAGUGAUGCUCAGGGGGACACUCGGUCUGGAUUCAGUCAGUGUGGCGGCGUUUCUUCUCUUACUAAAUUAAAUAUGUGUAAUUGAUGGUUUCAUAAACAGAGCUAACCUUGCCAGCAGCGUUCGGGAGUUGCCACUGAGGAGGUCCAUGUGAAUAUGUAUUGUGUCAGAGAAGAGCCCACAACUACAUCCACAAGUCCUCAGGUUCUUCACUCACAAUGAGAGAGAGAAAAGGAGAGCGAGAUGCACGCUGCAAGAUAUUGACUACAACAGUUUCUCGCCUUCGCAGGCGUAACACAUGACAUAAUGUCUCCUGCAGACAGCCACAGCUGAAAGUAGACAGCAUUGUUCUAGGGUAAAAUCUCACUUACAGGAUGUUCUCUCUUUCUUUCUCACUCUGUCUCUCUCUCAUUGUGCUUUCUUUAUCUUGCCUCUUACCACUAUGAAACUGGAGAGAUGAAAGCAGUUUGAACUAUACAGACAGAGAGAUCAAGGCUGUUCAACAUAAAUGUCAGUACAGUACAGUGAAAAGCAUGCAUUUACAGCAGUCUCAUGGGAAAACACUGACAAAAUGAAAAAGAAGAAAUGUGUCACUAAAACACGGGACAAAGGAAAUUUUCAGCCUUAGCUUUUAACUUGAGCUGUAAACACUGCCUUUAGGCAGUUUUGUUACUUUAUUGCUGUGUACGUGUGUAUAUUCACACUCUGAAUGUAAAAAGAUUCUCCAACAUCUUUACUUUCAUGUCAGAAAAGUACAAUUUGUGCUAUAGCCUAAAUAAUUAUAAAAUAUAAAAAGUGAAGCAGCCAAUUCCACAUCACAUCUUUCUUUUUUUUAAAUCCAUGUUUGUUACAGUUUGUCCUGUGGGUCUGACAAUGCAUGAAUGCAGCACAGUUUCAAAGCUGUCAUGACAUCCAAGAAGUUCGCCCCAGCACAUGAGCACACCACAAGACCUGUACAUUUCUGGUAAAUGUGUAUGUUAGCUGACCCAAAUUGCAAGUAAUUGUUUCAUUUUCAGUGUCUAGAAGUAAUAAAAUGUGACUUCAGUAAACUUUAA